AUACUUAACUGGUAAUGGGACAUCGUUGAUCACCGAGGACGAGCCCCCAGGGUGAGGCGCUGGCAUUGCAAUGUGCUCUCGUUGAUCCCUGAGACUACCCCAUAGUUGGGCAGAGAGAGAGAGAGAGAGAGAGAGAGAGAGAGAGAGGGGGGGGAAACUUUAUUUAAGAGGC
rnacentral:snRNA from 1 species